UAUAGAGCCUACACAGAGUACCAUACUACACAGACCAAAGACAAUAUUUUAAUAUUUAAUCUUUGGUCUAUGUAGUACGUACAUAGGCCAAAGGCAAUCAAACCACAGCGCUAAAGACUAAAUUGUGGUAUAUAAUAAUUAGAAUAUGGACCUGAAAUAAUUUUAGAUCGUUAACGCGUUAAUUUUUAUUUUAGUUAUGUGUGUUUCGUAGUGUUUGUCUGGUUUUUUAGAGGGAACUUCUUAGCAGUUUCAUUAUUUAUUACAGCGCUGCGUGUGUAUUAUAUAACUUUUUUCAUAACACCCCGAAAACAUAAUAUGGCAGAGAGAAAGAGUUAAAACUUUGUUAAAGCGUAAGGUGAUUUUAUUUUUAAGAAGAAGGAGAAAUAUCAGCAGUUUAUCAAAAACACAGUGGUGCUACAAUCUUUAAUCGGUUAGGUCGAGCGGUACGCUCCUCUCCAAAAGACGCUUACGUCAUAAUGGUUCGGCCUUACCUGUAAUGGCAGCUGGUUCCAUAAAGGUUUUCAUAUAAUCCUAGAAAUAUGGUGUGCUUUGACCACAACAAAUAUGACGGAGACGUUGAACGGUUUAUCAAUAAAAAUGGGAAGUUUUUGGAUGAUCUAUUGGAUACAUAAGUUUUAAUAUAUACUCUUCAUGAAGUAGUGUAUGUUAAGUGGCUAUUUAAUCUCAUGCUAUGACCGAAUUAAUGCGGGUGGAAACACAAGAACUUAUAUAAGGAACUUAACUACUAACAUUAUUAAUAAUAUAUACCUAAAUGUAAACAUUAAGAAUAUAUAUAUAUAGUCGAAUAUACUAUAUAUAUAUAGUUAUAUAUAUAUAUUUUUUAAUAAUAAAAUAGAGUAUUACAGAUCAAAUAAAAAUAAUACAGAUUUCAACAAUGCUUUUGUAAAUCAAAUAAAAAAUCCAUUCGACGAAAAGAAGGUAUUCCUAAUUAUUAUAAAAUCACACUUAUCCAAGAACAUAUUAUAAAUGGUGCAUGUAAAAUGUAUAUUAUUUAU